GAUCAUGGCUCAGGAUGAACGCUAGCUACAGGCUUAACACAUGCAAGUCGAGGGGCAGCGGGAAGUUAGCUUGCUAACUUGCCGGCGACCGGCGCACGGGUGAGUAACGCGUAUCCAACCUUCCCCUUAGUAGGGCAUAGCCCGUAGAAAUAGCGGAUUAAUACCCUAUGUUAUUCGUCGAGGACAUCUGAAGUGAAUCAAAGGUUUACCGCUAAGGGAUGGGGAUGCGUCUGAUUAGGCAGCAGGCGGGGUAACGGCCCACCUGGCCGACGAUCAGUAGGGGUUCUGAGAGGAAGGUCCCCCACAUUGGAACUGAGACACGGUCCAAACUCCUACGGGAGGCAGCAGUGAGGAAUAUUGGUCAAUGGUCGAGAGACUGAACCAGCCAAAAGUAGCGUGCAGGACGACGGCCCUAUGGGUUGUAAACUGCUUUUAUGCGGGGAUAAAGUGAGGGACGUGUCCCUUUUUGUAGGUACCGCAUGAAUAAGGACCGGCUAAUUCCGUGCCAGCCGCGGC
rnacentral:rRNA from 1 species